AGGGGUUAAUACGUAGUUCGUAUUUUAAUAGUUAGAUUAACGUGUUAGUAAUCCAAUUGUAGGCAGUUCGUGUGUGGAUCUCGUCAGCAUAUCAUCGCAAACAGGAAAUCCCCAACCAUAGUGGGCUUGGAGCUGUGAGGGAAUUCGGAGUGGCCACCCGGUCUGAAAGUUUGAUUUUCUUCUGGUGAACUGGACAUCCUUUUAAUUACGUUUGAGGUUUUGGGCUUUUAAAUGUAAUAAGGCCGCUUAUUUAUUUUUUAUGGUUUUUAUAUGUUUUAUUAAGAUAA